CCAUUUCUUUAAGAAAGUAAGAUCCCUGAGAGAUGAUCAGGUAGAUAGGUCAGGAGUGGAAGUACAGUGAUGUAUGGAGCGGACUGAUACUAAUCGAUCGAGGACUUAACCAAAA
rnacentral:rRNA from 1 species